rnacentral:rRNA from 1 species
CAGUAGCCACGGUAAUACGUAGGUGGCAAGCGUUAUCCGGAAUUACUGGGCGUAAAGCGUGCGCAGGCGGUUAUAUAAGACAGAUGUGAAAUCCCCGGGCUCAACCUGGGAACUGCAUUUGUGACUGUAUAGCUAGAGUACGGCAGAGGGGGAUGGAAUUCCGCGUGUAGCAGUGAAAUGCGUAGAUAUGCGGAGGAACACCGAUGGCGAAGGCAAUCCCCUGGGCCUGUACUGACGCUCAUGCACGAAAGCGUGGGGAGCAAACAGGAUUAGAUACCCCCGUAGUCCCUGUCUCUUAUAC